CAGUUGUAUUGUCUGUAUGUAAGUGGGGCAGAAAUACUUAGAUUGUAAUAGUUUUGUUUUUAAAUAUGUUUUGUAACCUUUGAUGUGUAUUAGGAUAAAACAGGCCCUCAUAAGUGUGAGGCAUGGAGUCUGUCAAUGCAACAGCUAAUCUUAAUGUAAAUGCAAGUUCCUUUGAUGACCAAGUUCGCAAGUUUGUACCAAGUAAUAGAUAAAUCAUGUUGCUUUAAUCUACCUGUACAUCAAAGAGAAGCCAUGUAGGUGAUACGUUACAUAGAAGUGUUAGGCCCAAUUCCCUACUGUGAAACUGUCUGCAUAUGUGUCUGGGAUUCUGAAAUAAAGAGCAGUGAGUUGUUGAGUUGGAGACAGUUGGACAGAGGCUUGAGUCAGAGAGAGAGCAGAGAGAGGGUCCCAAUUCACAGCUCCCGUGCGUGUCAAUGGCAUGCCUGUGUCUUGCGUGUGUCCUGUAGUUUAAUAGUCCCUCGUGCAGCAUUCUAAAAAACCUGGGGCCACAACAUCGACCCCUUUCUUACAUUAGCAUAUGAUCCAGUCCCGUCGCCGGCGACGAUUUUUCUUUAGACAUGUGAGGAAUAGUCGCGGACCCCCCGCUGAAGGGUCGCGCGACUGGGUCCGAGGUGGUCGCACGACGAUUCCA